rnacentral:rRNA from 1 species
AUACGGAGGGUGCAAGCGUUGUUCGGAAUCACUGGGCGUAAAGGGCGCGCAGGCGGUUUGGUAAGUCAGAUGUGAAAGCCCACGGCUCAACCGUGGAAGUGCAUUUGAAACUGCCAGACUUGAGUACCAGAGGGGAAAGUGGAAUUCCCGGUGUAGAGGUGAAAUUCGUAGAUAUCGGGAGGAAUACCGGUGGCGAAGGCGACUUUCUGGCUGGAUACUGACGCUGAGGCGCGAAAGCGUGGGGAGCAAACAGAAUUAGAAACCCCAGUAGUCC